rnacentral:rRNA from 1 species
GUAGGUGGCAAGCGUUGUCCGGAAUUAUUGGGCGUAAAGCGCGCGCAGGCGGUUCUUUAAGUCUGAUGUGAAAGCCCACGGCUCAACCGUGGAGGGUCAUUGGAAACUGGAGAACUUGAGUACAGAAGAGGAAAGCGGAAUUCCACGUGUAGCGGUGAAAUGCGUAGAGAUGUGGAGGAACACCAGUGGCGAAGGCGGCUUUCUGGUCUGUAACUGACGCUGAGGCGCGAAAGCGUGGGGAGCAAACAGGAUUAGAUACCCUGGUAGUCCACGCCGUAAACGAUGAGUGCUAAGUGUUAGGGGGUUUCCGCCCCCCUUAGUGCUGCAGCUAACGCAUUAAGCACUCCGCCUGGGGUACGCCGCAAGGCUG